rnacentral:rRNA from 1 species
UACAGAGGGGGCAAGUGUUGUUCGGAAUUACUGGGCGUAAAGGGCGCGUAGGCGGCCUUCUAAGUCGAACGUGAAAUCCCCGGGCUCAACCCGGGAACUGCGUCCGAUACUGGAAGGCUUGAAUCCGGGAGAGGGAUGCGGAAUUCCAGGUGUAGCGGUGAAAUUCGUAGAUAUCGGGAGGAACACCAGUGGCGAAGGCGGCGAUCUGGGAAGAUACUGACGCUGAGGUGCGGAAGCGUGGGGAGCAAACAGG